AUGAUCUUCCCGCCUAUGCUCCUGCAACCUGAUGUCGUCCCCGUGCACUCUCCAUGUCAUCGCCCCCUUGGCGAUAAGCGUACAUGUCAUGUCAUUGAUCCAGCCAGCAAACACUCACGCAUUGGCUACCAGAUUCCCCUAGUUAAUCUUUCUCGAGCAAAUAAUGAUCCCCAAAUUUCUCUGGGUAGUUUUUGCUUCCUGGGUGCUUCUUAUGGCCAUCUCAUCUUCUCCACAAACAGAUCAUGUCUCAUUGUUGAUGUGUUUACAGGUGUUAGUUUGUCACCACCACAGAUACCGGGCGACGAGUCCACCGAGGUCUACUACGGUGCCGUCACGGCUCCUGUAGAGUCACCCAACCCACAUCUCAUUGUCACCAACGAAUCUCAUAGUUACUUUUUGCGUGUUGGCAGACGCUCUUGGUUGAGAGCAUGCCCUUGUGAUGGAACUAUCCAGCAGAUUGUGACCUUCAAAGGCCAGGUCUUCGGCUUGGACUCUGGUGGCAUGCUCUUUGUUGUGCACUUGGCACCUUGGAUUCGUGUACGGAUGAUGGGAGUCAGUUGGGAGGAAAUCCCCUAG
rnacentral:rRNA from 1 species